UUUUGAUUCAAAAAUAAAAUAUUAAUAUAAUAUCAUUCAAGAAAAAAAUAAUAAUUAAUAAACAUGUCAAGUUUUCCUUGAGCCACGUGGCAGUUUUAAGUAAAACUUUGCCGCUUUAUGUAUAUAGAUAAAUAGAUAGACGUGCAUGUGUGUGUGAGAGUGCGCGGAUACAAAUAUAAGAAAAAUACACACCACAACCACCAUUGAGACCAUCAAACUGUAACAAAGUAGUUUAACACCCCCGCCG
rnacentral:misc_RNA from 1 species